rnacentral:rRNA from 1 species
UACGUAGGGCGCAAGCGUGUCCGGAAUUAUUGGGCGUAAAGAGCUCGUAGGCGGCCUGUCGCGUCUGCUGUGAAAUCCCGGGGCUCAACCCCGGGCCUGCAGUGGAUACGGGCUGGCUGGAGGCAGGCAGGGGAGAACGGAAUUCCUGGUGUAGCGGUGAAAUGCGCAGAUAUCAGGAGGAACACCGGUGGCGAAGGCGGUUCUCUGGGCCUGUUCUGACGCUGGAGGAGCGAAAGCGUGGGGAGCGAACAGG